rnacentral:rRNA from 2 species
UGAGACUUUAGGUCUCCUGAAGGAACGUUGAAGACGACGACGUUGAUAGGCCGGGUGUGUAAGCGCAGCGAUGCGUUGAGCUAACCGGUACUAAUGAACCGUGAGGCUUAACCUU